ACUGAAUUUUAAGAGAUCUGAAUUUGGCUGAGGAUGAGCAAGCAGCUGUAGCCUUCAAACAUUCUUCUUGAGAAUUCUACAGGAGGUCUGAGCAGAAGAGAAUAUCUGAUUAAUCACCCUGUCCCAAAUCAGCCACAGGAAAUCAUUGCUUCAGUUCAAAACAGAAAUACCCAUGUUCAAGGUAGUCAGCAUUGAAGUGGUGGCUCUUGUUUUGAGAAUCCUUUGGACUGACCCUCUGGUCAACUGCACUGGUACAUACAGGAAUUUUUGCCAGUCAUUUGGCACGAUUCUCUCCUGGCAAACUCAGCAUUUCACUGGGAAGAACAAGAAUUCAAAUCCUGAUAUAAUCAGGCUGUUCAGGUAAAGAUCUUCUUUUCAGCUCUGCUGCCUUUCUUCUGAUGGCAGCACUGAACCAGUCAUUUCUGAUGUACUAGGGACAAGAAUAGAUAUGUUACUAAUGCUGCUGAGGGUCAGUGUAGUCAAAGAAUUUAGUGCU